AAAAUAAGUAGUCGAAAGCGUACUGGCUCCGAAACUAAAAAUAAAAGUGCGGCAAAGUAUUGUUGCUUUUUUGCUUUUUAAGAAAAAAGUCCUGCUUAAGAGAAGUUGUUGAUUCCAUUUCUAAUAUCAAAUGGUCACGUCCACCUCCCCCAGCCUAUAGAUCCCUAGAAAGAUUCUAUUGUGUUUCAACAACUUGAUAUAUAAAAGUUGGACCUGUGCCAAUCAUGAGGAUGUUUAGUGUAUCAAUGGAAGGUAUUUUAUGCCACAUUCAUGGAUUUCUUCCUUAUUUUUUUGGGCCAGCACCACCUGAUUUCCAGCUAUCUGACUGUGCUAUGUUUGGGAAAACUCUUAAUCAAGCUGUAGUUGCUGACAUGAAAUUCAAUAAAUAUUGCCAAUACCAUUUUAGCUGUUGUCCAGUUUAUGGUUGACACAAAAGUAGUUGGCUGCAAC